GGAGUGGUAGCUCAAUACGGAGUAGAGCACUGCCCUGUCACGGCAGAGGUUAUGGGUUCAAGUCCCAUCCAUUCCGCCA
rnacentral:tRNA from 1 species